rnacentral:rRNA from 1 species
UACUAGAGUAGCACUCGCAUAUCAAUAAGCGGAGGAAAAGAAACUAACAAGGAUUCCCCUAGUAACGGCGAGUGAAGCGGGAAGAGCUCAAAUUUGAAAUCUUAAAGGGUUUCCCUCUACGAAUUGUAGUUUAGAGAAGUGUUUUCUGUUGAGGUUUUGGUAAAAGUUCUUUGGAAUAGGACAUCAUAGAGGGUGAGAAUCCCGUAUUUGACCUUUACUUUCAACUUUGUGAUACACUUUCAAAGAGUCGGAUUGUUUGGGAAUGCAGUCCAAAAUGGGUGGUAAAUUUCAUCUAAAGCUAAAUAUUGGCGAGAGACCGAUAGCGAACAAGUACCGUGAGGGAAAGAUGAAAAGAACUUUGAAAAGAGAGUUAAACAGUACGUGAAAUUGUCAAAAGGGAAGCGUUUGACACCAGUGUUGUUUUUCUGAAAAUCAAUUAAAGAACUGUUUAUGCUAAGCUGUUUAGACUUUAUCAGCUAUCUGUUUAGUUUUGAGCUUUUCUUUAAUGCACUUUUCAGUUAACAAGUCAACAUCAAUUUCUUUUGCUGUAAAAAAGCUUGAGGAAGGUGGCUUGAGAUUCGUCUUAAGUGUUUAUAGCCUCUUGCCUAUGCAGUCGGAGAGAUUGAGGUCUGCAGCGUAGAUCCUUCGGGGCUAAAUGCAUUUGUGCUAAGUUAUAGCAUUUUAUAGACAACUUGUUGACUAUGAUUUGUCUUGUAGCUUACUCGCUUAUGUUAUUUUACCUACGCUUAGGAUGUUGAGUAGCGACAUACGCAC